rnacentral:rRNA from 1 species
AUGAGACUGCCGGUGAUAAACCGGAGGAAGGUGGGGAUGACGUCAAGUCAUCAUGCCCCUUAUGACCUGGGCUACACACGUGCUACAAUGGACAGUACAACGAGAAGCGAGCCUGCGAAGGCAAGCGAAUCUCUGAAAGCUGUUCUCAGUUCGGACUGCAGUCUGCAACUCGACUGCACGAAGCUGGAAUCGCUAGUAAUCGCGGAUCAGAACGCCGCGGUGAAUACGUU